rnacentral:rRNA from 1 species
AUGCAAGUCGAGCGGACAGAAGGGAGCUUGCUCCCGGAUGUUAGCGGCGGACGGGUGAGUAACACGUGGGUAACCUGCCUGUAAGACUGGGAUAACUCCGGGAAACCGGAGCUAAUACCGGAUAGUUCCUUGAACCGCAUGGUUCAAGGAUGAAAGACGGUUUCGGCUGUCACUUACAGAUGGACCCGCGGCGCAUUAGCUAGUUGGUGGGGUAAUGGCUCACCAAGGCGACGAUGCGUAGCCGACCUGAGAGGGUGAUCGGCCACACUGGGACUGAGACACGGCCCAGACUCCUACGGGAGGCAGCAGUAGGGAAUCUUCCGCAAUGGACGAAAGUCUGACGGAGCAACGCCGCGUGAGUGAUGAAGGUUUUCGGAUCGUAAAGCUCUGUUGUUAGGGAAGAACAAGUGCGAGAGUAACUGCUCGCACCUUGACGGUACCUAACCAGAAAGCCACGGCUAACUACGUGCCAGCAGCCGCGGUAAUACGUAGGUGGCAAGCGUUGUCCGGAAUUAUUGGGCGUAAAGGGCUCGCAGGCGGUUUCUUAAGUCUGAUGUGAAAGCCCCCGGCUCAACCGGGGAGGGUCAUUGGAAACUGGGAAACUUGAGUGCAGAAGAGGAGAGUGGAAUUCCACGUGUAGCGGUGAAAUGCGUAGAGAUGUGGAGGAACACCAGUGGCGAAGGCGACUCUCUGGUCUGUAACUGACGCUGAGGAGCGAAAGCGUGGGGAGCGAACAGGAUUAGAUACCCUGGUAGUCCACGCCGUAAACGAUGAGUGCUAAGUGUUAGGGGGGUUUUCCGCCCCCUUUAGUGCUGCAGCUAACGCAUUUAAGCACUUCCGCCCUGGG